UACAAACAACUAAACGGCAAGCAAGCACAUGGCACAGUAGCUCACUACUGAGCAUGUGGCAGUGGCUGAAGCACAGGCGUGGCUGAAGUAGGAGAGAGAGGGUGUAUUGACAGGACACCGCUGCCCUUACCUUCAGAAGAGCUCCUAGUUCUGGAGGCAUAGCUGAGCAUCCCUACUGUGGUAGCGUGAGAAUGCUGUGGAGUCUCACCAAUGUGUUGCUGGCAAUGAAGUAACUUUAUAGAGUGCCUUUGACUGAAAUGGUCUUGUUCCUUCUUCAAGUUAAAAUGGCUUGAGGUACUCACUGAAAUCUGGCC